rfam:Rattus norvegicus chromosome 6, whole genome shotgun sequence.
GGGGAUUUAGCUCAGUGGUAGAGCGCUUGCCUAGGCAGCGCAAGGCCCUGGGUUCGGUCCCCAGCUCCA